rnacentral:sRNA from 1 species
GAUAUCAAGGUCAAAAGCCCUGAGCCCACGGCAAGCUUGCUUGCCGGUGGGGGAAUGGGCUUGGGACCCACCCCAACAUGAGGAAGGAGUGGGGGAGGUUCCCCACGGAAUCCGAAUGUUGGGGCGGAUUGUGGAAGUGCGAAGCGCGGAGCAAUCCGUGAUAUC